GGUACCCUACCUCAUAGUGGGGGAUAACAGUCGGAAACGACUGCUAAUACCGCAUAGGACAUGGAAUCACAUGAUUCUGUGAGGAAAGGUGGCGCAAGCUAUCGCUAAGAGAUGGACCCGCGGUGCAUUAGCUAGUUGGUAGGGUAACGGCCUACCAAGGCAAUGAUGCAUAGCCGACCUGAGAGGGUGAUCGGCCACAUUGGGACUGAGACACGGCCCAAACUCCUACGGGAGGCAGCAGUAGGGAAUCUUCCGCAAUGGACGCAAGUCUGACGGAGCAACGCCGCGUGAGUGAAGGAGGUCUUCGGAUCGUAAAGCUCUGUUGUUAGAGAAGAACAGCGCAUAGAGUAACUGUUAUGCGUGUGACGGUAUCUAACCAGAAAGCCACGGCUAACUACGUGCCAGCAGCCGCGGUAAUACGUAGGUGGCGAGCGUUGUCCGGAUUUAUUGGGCGUAAAGGGAGUGUAGGCGGUCUUUUAAGUCUGAUGUGAAAGCCCACGGCUCAACCGUGGAGGGUCAUUGGAAACUGGGAGACUUGAGUGCAGAAGAGGAGAGCGGAAUUCCAUGUGUAGCGGUGAAAUGCGUAGAUAUAUGGAGGAACACCAGUGGCGAAGGCGGCUCUCUGGUCUGUAACUGACGCUGAGGCUCGAAAGCGUGGGGAGCAAACAGGAUUAGAUACCCUGGUAGUCCACGCCGUAAACGAUGAGUGCUAAGUGUUGGAGGGGUUCCACCCUUCAGUGCUGGAGUUAACGCAAUAAGCACUCCGCCUGGGGAGUACGGCCGCAAGGCUGAAACUCAAAGGAAUUGACGG
rnacentral:rRNA from 1 species